UGGGCAGAGUGAUUAGAUCCUAAAAGGCAGUUCAGAGAUGUUCCCUGACAGUGUUAUGUUAGAAAUCAAUUUUAAUCUCUCUCCCAUUAUUUCAGGGGGAAGCAGCACCGAGAAUAAAUACACCAGCUUUAUUAGCAUGGUGAGAAAGGUAAUGUGUGUUAAAGGGUACACACAAAUGGCGCAGGGACAGUAGAACAUUGGCUACCCUCAAAAUAUCCCCUUCAAGGCUGGGCACAGUAGCUCACGUCUGUAAUCCUAGCACUUUGCGUGGCCGAGGAGGGUGAAUUGCCUGAGCUGAGGAGUUCCAGACCAGUUUGUAUUUAUUAGACAGGGUGAAACCCUGUCUCUACUAAAAUACAAAA
rnacentral:lncRNA from 1 species